ACCACUCAAGCCGCGGUUGCAUGUGCACUGUGAGACCCUCCCCUCCCUUUUAAAGCUCAUCAGAACCAGCCCCCCUUACCCCCUACCCCCUGCCUAUUGUCUGAAACAAAGACCCCGUUAAAUGUCCCAGAUAGAUUCUUACAGGUCUUGUGAUAUUCCAGACACUUGCGCUGAAUUUUGGUGAUACACACCAGGCAUGACUUUGGAAAAAAAAAAAAAAAUCUGUAAAUGACGUGUGGAAGUAGAAUUCUGUCACCGUGCAGCGUAGACUUGGAUACUGUUUCUACUUGGGCUGAGUAAUGUGACCAGAAUUGUUAUAUACUGAUAUUGGUCUUUUCACAGUCAGAUAGCAAAUACAUUUCAUUAAUUAUGACAUUGUUGCAUUUCUAAAUUCAACAAACAAAUACUGUAUUUUAGAUGGUCACAUGGAAAAGACUUUCCUUAACAGUAGUGUACUUGACAAAUGAAACAUACUCAUUUGAAUAUUUUUCUCCUGCAGUUUGGAGCCUUUACGCUAUUUUCCUGUUAAACCUGUAACAAAACAUCGAGGAUGUCAGAGAUACACUAAAGAACACUAAAGGGAUCAAUAAUAAGAAAUGAUCUAAUAGGGAAAAGAACUGAAAAACAAAAGAGCACAAAAGACUGUUGCAAAAAGUCAAUACUUAAAAAGCAAACAGUGCAAAUGUACAACAGUUCGAUAGAAGUCCAAGGCCGACACAAUGACUCCAUCUCCAGAGUCUUUGUCAGGACAUAAGACAAAAGAUGUGCUGAAGUUUCAAACCUCAGUGCAUCAUGGGACACUAAUCAUGUUUAUCAUGUGACAACUGCCUUCAAGUAUGGUUCGACAAGGAGCAAAAAAGACAAGCAAUUGUUUGAUUUUAUUUCUUCCAUUAAAUAUAACAGUCUGUUAUAUUCUCCAGUUGGUAGCGCAGAUAUCAGCUCUGUACUUUUAAGGUUUAAAAUAUAGCGAUGCAAGAAAAAAACUCUUUUUAUCUACAAACAGAAUUUAAAGCCUAAAAGAAAACAUACAAAAUAUAUUUAACAGAACUGUUUGACUCAUUGCAGAAAACAUGGAAAUAGGCCAAACAUAAACACUGCUGUGUAAAAUAUCAAGUGUUAACACUGAACACUUUUAGUUUAACAUGUAUCAGCAAAAUAAGCCUCAUAGUAUAAAUAUUAUAUAUCCACUGUAAUCUGCAUAAACACAUCACAGAUCUGUGCUGUGUGGAAAAAGCAUCAUUCAAUAUAAAAUAUUUGCCACGGGUGAUUUUAAUAAGUGACAACAUGUUAUUAAAGUAUUUCUGUUUUUUUUUUUUCUUGUAAUGUGAUAGAUUUUAUCACAUCCUGCAGCCCUAGUUCCUACGUUUGGUGACGAAAAUGAUUCCAAAUUUAAAACAUCCAGGACUGUUGAGUUGAACUGAUGUGUUCGUAUUCCUGAUGAGUGUCUGGAAUAUCAGCCUGUUCCAGCCUGGACUGCGUGUGUUUGCCCCCCCUCCCCACCCCUCCCCACCCCUCCCACAUUUGUGCCCCUGUUUGCCUCCUCUGUGGAGUUCUGUCGUCAGCCUCUUAGCACCUUGACUGCAUGUGUUUGUUUUUGUUUUUCAACACUUAAAUCUGCAGUAGUGGACGAGGGAAACCAGAGGUAAUGUGCAUCGAUGCUAAAGUCGGUACUCGUCUGUGCCUUUACUGCAGGUUUCUGCGAGGCGUGCUGUAGUAAAAUGGCAGCUCCCUUUGCUCUCAGCAUGGAGGGUGGAAGCUCCACUCCCCAGUAAACAGUCCCAGUCAAUGACACACAAAUUCCCCUGCUGAAAGUGGUUUGGUUUUUGUUGUUCGCCGAAGAACCAACUUAGAAAUUUUGC